rnacentral:lncRNA from 1 species
AAAAAAACAAGUUAAAAGUAUUUUUUUCUUUUUAUCCAACAAGCUUUAUUUUCACUAUAAAAAACUGAUAUAUUAACAAUAUUCUGUGAUAAUUUUUUGACGCAACUUACAAAUUAAAACAUAAUCACUUUAUAUUUCUAGCUAAAUUUAUUUUUUUCUAAAAAUUAAUGAAACGAACAGCAUACUUAUCUUUCUUUUAUUUUUUUAAAAAAGGAAAAAGUAUUGAAAAAUAAAA